rnacentral:lncRNA from 1 species
AAUGAAGUUUUGAUGGGCUUGAAAUGGUCUCAGGAAAUGGCCAGGCCCAUCCUUGCCCCAGGAAAGAACUUCAUAUACUCAGACAACUUGUGCCACUCCAGUCACACAGCUAUUGCUUCCUAUGGGGGAGUGAGGGAUCAGGGUGUGAAGCCUGACUGAAUAUAGAGCUGAAAUGCCCUGAAUUUACUGUAGGGCCAUCUCGGCCUACUGAGAGAUUGGCCUUGGAUGGCCAACAGGGAAACAAAUACUGGCCUUGCUCAGCUCAGCCCCCAAAUGGCUAACUCAGAGCACCUGCCCAUAGAAACCCAGGAGAUUUAUUCCUGCCCCAAAACGGAGAAGAACCCCAUCUCCAUCCCCAACGCCUUAGUGUAUUACAGCACCAUUGCUAGCAAACUCCUGGCUUUAAAAGAGAAGGGCAUUCCCAGGGAAAUACCCUGCCAGUCAGCUUAACCAAUACAGGGUUUACAGUUUCCCAGUCUUACUCAGUGAUGUCACAUCACCUCAGUUGUGAUACGUUUGGCGCCAUGACCUCCAGCCAAGGAUCUCAGAACACUUCAUCAUGCAUUCUAUUAUUCUCAUUCUUUGCAUUACCAUAGUGCCUAGAUGUCCUAGUCAUGGGCCAGGCGCACACUGAGUUAAAUAAUUAAAACCCACACAGUCCUUUGCCAUGUAGGUGAGUGUCAUUUUCUCUAUUUUAGAAAAGAUACAGCUGAGACACCAUAUGUGGAAGCAACUUGCCCAAAGCAACGCAGCUGAGUGAGGAAAGAACCAAGAAUUGAACCCAGGAGUCCUGCUCUGACUAAGACAACCCUGACACCGAAGGUGCUGCAGCAUCUUGCUACAUGCACGAGAGACAUGGACAUUAAGGAAACAGGAUAUUCAGCGGCUUCUGCCUUUGAAGUGAAAUGUUACAGGUGGUUGCAACACAUGAGCUAUAUCUACCACACAACUAACGAGGACGUGAUCAGCCUGAUUUACCACCUAACCAGAGUGAUACCCGAUAGCGUCAAGAUGAUCAGACUAAGAAAACUUGAGUUUGUGCAAAAUUUACAAGACCCUGCAGAAGACUGGAGCACCUUCAGUAUCCAAAUGGGAGAGAGCCUGCUCAUCUGAACCUCAUGCAGCUACAAUUGACUGUACAAGGGAUGGUUUUCUUUAUUCAACUAAAGUUUCCUGGGAAGUGGCAAUAAUCCAAGCUCCUACUGUAGAUCAGGGUGGGGUGGAUUUUCAAAGGCACAAACUGGAGUAGGAUGCCUAAUUGCCCUUUGUGCCUGAGGAAAACAUGUAGCUGUUAUGGGCUGCUCCAGGAGCACUAGCUUUUAUUUUUUGUAAUUUCAAAACAUUUACCUUGGUCUGUGUGGUGGUGUGUGCACACCCCAUCUCCUGGCAGGGGGGAUAGUGGGUGUGCAUACACCACAGUUACAGUCUACCAGGCUGUCUUGGGCAUCACCACAAUGAGGGCCAAUGGCUAGAGUCCCUACCACAGCCCUCAGGUGCAGAGCAGCAUGGCCUAGCAGCUAGAUCCAGGGGCCAAUACCAGAUGAGGUGGCAGCCAGGGUAGGGGGACCCAGGCCCACCUGACUCCACUGGGUCCCAACCCAGUGCCCUAACAAUGGCCAUGUGUCCACCACUGGGUCAGUAGGGAAUCCAA